rnacentral:rRNA from 1 species
GAUGAACGCUGGCGGCGUGCCUAACACAUGCAAGUCGAGCGGAAAUGACCUGAAGUACUCGUACUGAGGGAAAUUUUAGCGGCGGACGGGUGAGUAACACGUGAGCAACCUGCCUUCAGCAGGGGAAUAACAUUGGGAAACCAGUGCUAAUACCGCAUGACAUCAUCGGGCGACAUCGCCUGGUGAUCAAAGGAGCAAUCCGGCUGAAGAUGGGCUCGCGUCCGAUUAGCUAGUUGCGGGGUAACGGCCCACCAAGGCGACGAUCGGUAGCCGAACUGAGAGGUUGAUCGGCCACAUUGGGACUGAGACACGGCCCAGACUCCUACGGGAGGCAGCAGUGGGGAAUAUUGGGCAAUGGGGGAAACCCUGACCCAGCAACGCCGCGUGAAGGACGAAGGCCUUCGGGUUGUAAACUUCUUUGAUCAGGGACGAAAGCAAUGACGGUACCUGAAGAACAAGCCACGGCUAACUACGUG